rnacentral:rRNA from 1 species
GACGAACGCUGGCGGCGUGCUUAACACAUGCAAGUCGAGCGGAAGGGCCCUUCGGGGUACUCGAGCGGCGAACGGGUGAGUAACACGUGAGCAACCUGCCCUUAGCUCUGGGAUAGCUCCGGGAAACCGGAAUUAAUCCCAGAUAUGACCACGGCCGACAUCUGCCGUGGUGGAAAGGAUUCCGGCUAAGGAUGGGCUCG